rnacentral:rRNA from 1 species
GAGUUUGAUCCUGGCUCAGAUUGAACGCUGGCGGCAUGGCUAAGGCAUGCAAGUCGAGCGCGAAAGUCCCUUCGGGGGCGAGUAGAGCGGCGAAAGGGCGAGGAAUACAUUCCAACGUACCCUGAGGUCGGGGAUAGCCCCGGGAAACCGGGAGUGAUACCCGAUGUGGUCUCCGGAUCAAAGAUUUAUUGCCUCAGGAGCGUGGAAUGUCCUAUCAGGUUGUUGGUGAGGUAACGGCUCACCAAGCCGAAGACGGGUAGCGGGUGUGAGAGCAUGACCCGCCGCAUCGGGACUGAGACACUGCCCGGACUCCUACGGGAGGCUGCAGUAACGAAUAUUCCGCAAUGCGCGAAAGCGUGACGGAGCAAUGCCGCGUGCAGGAUGAAGCCCUUCGGGGUGUAAACUGCUGUCAGGGUACAGGAACACAAUGACCAUACCCAAAGGAAGGGCCGGCUAACUUCGUGCCAGCAGCCGCGGUAAUACGAAGGGCCCGAGCGUUAAUCGGAAUCACUGGGCUUAAAGCGUACGCAGGCGGACUUGAAGGCAUCUUGUGAAAUCCCUCGGCUCAACCGAGGAACUGCAGGUGAACCGU